rnacentral:siRNA from 1 species
GUAAUAACUCGUAAAUACUUGUA